rnacentral:lncRNA from 1 species
ACUGAGCCCACGAUCUGGAUCCCAUUCAGUGGCAUCUCCCGUAGCUCAUUUGAACUAGUUUGUGAGGUGUGCCCGUGCGAAUUGGCACUCCUUUCCUGCCCGAUAUUUGGUCAGACGGCGCCUUAGCUCGAUGUUCGUGUUAAGUUCUAGUAUGAUGAUAAAUCAUUUGGGUUUGAUCCCUUGCAUUUGGAUUUCUUAUGAAAGAGAGCUGGGGUACUGUGCAGGCAUUUCUUGACUGGAAUGUUGCGACGCAGGACGAACAGGUGCACAAACGACCGUCGCAUCAGACCGUUGCCUCUCGUCGCAGCGUCGUGGGGCACAAUGAAGCGCUCUACAGCGGCAGUGUUUCUUUUAGUGGGUCUUGCCCUGGUCCUUGCGUCUCCGUCGGUGUCCAGCAGAGGUGAGGCGCCUUAUUGCUGCUCCGCUGACAAACUCAACGACGCGGGUUGGUCACUCAGCUAGGCCAGGGUUCCGACAGGUGUGGGCGCGCCACGGGCCUUCGCUAUCUUGGAUUUUUGUGUCCAGUAUAGAUAUUAUUCCGUUGAUUUAUUGAUUCAAAGCGCUGUAGACAUGUCAAGUUGGCCAGCGGCCUGCCAAGUGAUCUCUGGAAAGCUAAUUCGUCUCAGUCAGGUGCUGCUAUCUGGGUUGUACCCGAUGAUGGCAUCUAGGCACUUCUACAGCUUCAAUAUUGAUUAAGUUCAAUGAUCGCUGGGGUUCGCGCUCUUUAGGCGCUUGUAUACGUAUCGAAGGGGCUGAGAUUGUUGACCUAUGGCGCUCUGAUUGUUGCAAGCAUUACUGUUUCAAAACUGCGCUGAGCAGCUGAUUGGAUCUAAUAAUAUUUUGCCUGCAUCGUAUGCAUUUAUGCUUCGAUAGUGUACAUUCUCUCCAGGGACAUCUCAUGACACCACAGUAAUCAAUUCACCGCUGUGCUGUGGUGGCAGUACGGAAGACUGUAUUAUUGCUGCGAAUCAGAAUCUCACCAUGCUUUGUGAGUUGUGUGCUGCAGUGUUGCUGCAGUCACCAUCACCAGACGCCUCA